GAAGUAAGUCAAAUUGUAUAUUCCCGAAAAUAAAAGAUCUAGAAUAAAUUUACUCUAAGGUUAAAUUACUUAUACUGUAGCAUUAGUAUAAAAAAAAUAAUUUCUAGUGGCGAAAGGCCUUCAAUUUUAUUUAUAGCUGGAUAAAUAUAAAAUAAAUUUAGUUUAUAUUAUAAAUACAAUGUUAUAAGAUAUUGUAUUUUAAAAUUGCCAUAUAUUUGAAGAUGUCAUAUACUAAUCCUUCUUGAUAAAUAACCUUAGUAUAAUAAAUCUAUAUUUUUAAAUUUUUUCCUAGUAUUUUAUUUUAAACAUCUUAAUUUUAAAGUAAAUAAUGUACAAAUCAGUAUAUAUUAUAAAUUUAGUUGAAGGAACUCGGCAAAUAGCUUGUACGACUGUUUAUCAAAAACAUAGCCAAUAGGUAAUUAAUUAUUGGUGUGACCUGCCCAGUGAAUCAUUAACGGCCGCAGUACCUUGACUGUGCAAAGGUAGCAUAAUCAUUUGGCUUUUAAUUGGAGUCUGGCAUGAACGGAAAAACGUAUAAAAACUGUCUUCACUCAUAAGUUAAUCAAAAUUACUAAUUAGGUGAAAAUUCCUAAAUAAAAAAAAUAGACGAGAAGACCCUUAGAAUUUUAAUAAGAACCAAAAUUAUUAAUGGGGCAAUUUUUGUUGGGGCAACAUUUUUUCAUAAAAUAAAAGAUUCUUUAAAAUAUAUAUAACGAAAAAUAUAAUCAAGUAAAAAUUACCUAAGGGAUAACAGCAUAAUUUUUUAAAAAGAUUGUGACCUCGAUGUUGGAUUAGGAACUAAUAAGGCUAGUCGUUUUAUUAUAAUAGGUUCUGUUCGAACUUUAUUUCCUA
rnacentral:rRNA from 1 species